rnacentral:rRNA from 1 species
CCUACGGGAGGCAGCAGUGAGGAAUAUUGGUCAAUGGACGGGAGUCUGAACCAGCCAAGUAGCGUGAAGGAUGACUGCCCUAUGGGUUUUAAACUUCUUUUAUAAGGGAAUAAAGCGCGGCACGUGUGCCUUUUUGCAUGUACUUUAUGAAUAAGUAUCGGCUAACUCCGUGCCAGCAGCCGCGGUAAUACGGAGGAUCCGAGCGUUAUCCGGAUUUAUUGGGUUUAAAGGGAGCGUAGGUGGUUCCUUAAGUCAGUGGUAAAAUCGUGCGGCUCAACCGUAACGUGCCGUUGAAACUGGCAGACUUGAGUAUACGCGAGGUAAGUGGAAUUCGUGGUGUAGCGGUGAAAUGCUUAGAUAUCACGAAGAACUCCGAUCGCGAAGGCAGUGUACCAAAGUGAGACUGACACUGAGGCUCGAAAGUGCGGGUAUCAAACAGGAUUAGAUACCCUGGUAGUC